rnacentral:rRNA from 1 species
UACAGAGGGUGCGAGCGUUAAUCGGAAUUACUGGGCGUAAAGCGCGCGUAGGCGGUUUUGUCAGUCGGGUGUGAAAUCCCCAGGCUCAACCUGGGAACUGCAUUCGAGACUGCAUAGCUAGAGUAUGGGAGAGGGAAGUGGAAUUUCAGGUGUAGCGGUGAAAUGCGUAGAUAUCUGAAGGAACAUCAGUGGCGAAAGCGACUUCCUGGACCAAUACUGACGCUCAUGUGCGAAAGCGUGGGGAGCAAACAGG